AACUGGAGCCACUUUUCAGCUGCCGCUGGCUCCCAUCUCAGCGCUUUUGCACCGAGAGUCGGUGUUUUUGCACGCUUCUCCCAGCGGCCAGCGAUCCCCCUGCGGCCUUGGCAAGAGACCUUUAAAGAUGCAGGUGGAACCCGGAGAAAGCCACGCAGAGAAGCCGGGCCAGGUGCGAAUGUUCUCGUCACUCCUCCUGCCAGCUGAUAGCAUGCGGGUAAAGAAUGGGAG
ensembl:lncRNA